rnacentral:rRNA from 1 species
ACGCUCGACACCUACGUGAGGCAGCAGUGGGGAAUAUUGCACAAUGGGGGAAACCCUGAUGCAGCGACGCCGCGUGAAGGAAGAAGUAUUUCGGUAUGUAAACUUCUAUCAGCAGGGAAGAAGAUGACGGUACCUGACUAAGAAGCCCCGGCUAACUACGUGCCAGCAGCCGCGGUAAUCUGAGCGGCUGGCAAGGC